rnacentral:rRNA from 1 species
AGAUUGAACGCUGGCGGCAGGCCUAACACAUGCAAGUCGAGCGGCAGCACGGGUACUUGUACCUGGUGGCGAGCGGCGGACGGGUGAGUAAUGCCUAGGAAUCUGCCUGGUAGUGGGGGAUAACGCUCGGAAACGGACGCUAAUACCGCAUACGUCCUACGGGAGAAAGCAGGGGACCUUCGGGCCUUGCGCUGUCAGAUGAGCCUAGGUCGGAUUAGCUAGUUGGUGAGGUAAUGGCUCACCAAGGCGACGAUCCGUAACUGGUCUGAGAGGAUGAUCAGUCACACUGGAACUGAGACACGGGUCCAGACCUCCCCGACGGGGAGGCAAGCGAAGGUGGGGGAA